rnacentral:rRNA from 1 species
AGCGAACGCUGGCGGCAGGCCUAACACAUGCAAGUCGAACGAACUCUUCGGAGUUAGUGGUGGACGGGUGAGUAACACGUGGGAAGGAGCCUUUUGGCUCGGAAUAACUCAGGGAAACUUGUGCUAAUACAGAAUGUGCUCUUAGGGGAAAGAUAUAUCGCCAUUAGAUCGGGCCGCGUCUGAUUGGCUCGUUGGUGAGGUAACGGCACACCAAGGCGACGAUCAGUAGCUGGUCUGGGAGGAUGACCAGCCACACUUGGACUGCGACACAGCCCAGACUCCUACGCGAGGCUGCAGUAUGGAGUCUUGCGCAAUGGACGAAAGCCUGACGCAGCCAUGCCGCGUGAAUGAUGAAUGUCUUAGUAUUGUAAAAUUCUUUCACCGGGGACGAUAAUGACGGUACCCGGAGAAGAAGCCCCGGCUAACUUCGUG